GAUUAAAAGUUUAAUAUGAUAAUAUGAUCUUUACUUGUCACAUAUACAUUGCAGAACAGUGAAAUGCUUUUCUUUGCUUGUUAGGAAGUUGGGAUCAGAGCUCAGGGUCAGCCAUUUUACGGCACCCAUGGAGUAGAUAGGGUUAAGGGCCUUGCUCAAGGGCACGGCAGUGGCAGCUUGGCAGUGCUGGGGCUUGAACCAAGGUUUCAUAUUGACCAAGUCAAUCACCAGACCUUAACCCAAUUGAACAUGCAUUUCGCCUCUUGAAGAGGAGACUGAAGGGAGAACUCGCCUUAAACAAACAACUAAAAGAGGCUGUAGUACAAGCAUGGAAAAGCAACACAAAAGGAGAAUCCAACAAUUUGGUAAUGUCAAUGAAUCACAGGCUUGAUGCAGUUAUUAAGGAAUAUGUGACCAAAUAUUAAGUGUUACUCUAAUUUAUUUCAAGACUUACCUUUUCCUAUACUUUUGCUAGCCUAAAAUUUGGGUGGUAUCCAUCUUUUGAUCUCAAACACAAAUGUAUUUGGUGUAUAACACAAACAAUGAAUUGGCCUCGCCGUUCCAAUAGUUUCAAAGGGGACUGUAAAUCGAAUUGGAUUACAGCAUCUAAUAAAAGUGUCGAUACGAUUUUUCAUACUGCACAGGUUCUGUGCAGAUGCUCUAACUGUCCUCUCUGUCACAUCGUAAAUAAUAGUUCUUUCACAUGGUUGCUCAUGUGUGACGAGCCCCAGUGAUCAAGAUGUUGUUUUUUUUUUUUCCAUUGCUCCGUUGACCUGCUUAACGUACCGGGCUGGUUGUGUAAGACGGAAAAGAACGGAGGAUGCAGGCAAAGCACUUGAAUCAUGCAGUUGAUGUUGUGCGUGUGUAAUUACACUUCCUCUUCUGUGCCCGGGCCUGGCUACAACACUUCUUGGAAGUUGGGUUGUCUUAUUUAGAGUUUGGCACUGUCCUUGUGAGUGUUUAUUGUGUCAACAGAGCACCUGCCGCCUGUCCUCGUUUCGCUGGCAUUAGCACGUGCCACCGUGAAACCCUCACCGCCUACCACUCCCUGACUUUGGCUCCAAAUUCGCACCCAUUAUUUCAACAGUAGUCCAGCAGAUUUGCCGGGUGAAAGCUGCUCGCCGUGCUGUUCUACUCAACAGGAACGAAUUAUACAUCCUAAAACGCAAUGCUGCACGCAACAACAUUUAGUUAUUCCAUUACUCUCGAAACCAUGGAUGAACCAUGGUAUACUGUGUUAACUCCCCCCACGCACGUUUUUGUGGUGCACAACUCACUUUCUCUGCCUCACUUUUAUCCUCCUUAUCUGGUGCAGCCUGGUGCAGUGCAUGUAGCAGCCAGGUGCAGGUGAUGAAGCAGGUGUAGAAAGAGAUUUAUUGAUUUUAAUCAUAUUCUGAAACAAGAGUCUUCUGACUGCCAGCAAACACUCAGUCACUCCUGUGGGACAGGAUGGACAGAUGCGGUGCCGUGUUUCCUCCAGUCAACGGAACAAAUUCUGAACAGUUUCUGCGCUGCUGAUUGGAGCUGAAAGCAGAGUGAGGUUCAUCUGAAUAUGAAAGCCAAUUUUCUGGAUUUGAAAGUCCAAUAAAAGGCAGUUGAGCACCAGGCUAAAAAGGUCACAGAGGUCCUACAGAGGGGCUAUGUGGAUGGAUCUGGGACUUUCGAGACUGCAUGGCCAGUGAUGAUGGAGACCGGCUUUUUGGUUUUAUCCGCGGUAAGCAGCAGUCACCUCCCCCCUGCUUCACACUGCUGCAGGCUUUAACUGAAGGCCAUGGCCCAGCACAGUUGGUGUGAUCUGAAUUGAAUGUGUCAUCAGCAUAUGUAAAUGUGUGUCUGGAAGCCAGUGUUAUAAUGCAGUUUGACGCACUUUCAUAUCUAUUUUAUCAGCUUUCAAACAGUGCUUUCUGUUAGCAUUGCUGCCUUUUUAAUUUUGGGCACUGAUUCAAGUCUUAUUCAUACCAAUUAUCCACAUGUGCAGGCUGAUUUACUGUUUGCUUUAUAAAGUCUUAGAGGCCAUUAGACCCCUUGUUUCUAGUAUUCUUAUGCCUUGUAACCACAACAUAAUUACAGUGAAACACACACACACACACACACACACACACACACACACACACACACACACACACACACACACACA